rnacentral:rRNA from 1 species
UACGUAGGGUGCAAGCGUUAAUCGGAAUUACUGGGCGUAAAGCGUGCGCAGGCGGUUUUGUAAGUCUGACGUGAAAUCCCCCGGGCUCAACCUGGGAAUUGCGUUGGAGACUGCAAGGCUGGAGUCUGGCAGAGGGGGGUAGAAUUCCACGUGUAGCAGUGAAAUGCGUAGAGAUGUGGAGGAACACCGAUGGCGAAGGGCAGCCCCCUGGGUCAAGACUGACGCUCAU